AAAGCGAGAAGACAGGACUUUCUGUUUAAUUUCGGCCGCCGGUGUCAGCAUUUCACAACGACAGCAUUUGGUGUGCGCGGCCAGUCCUAUUCAAAAUCCCCCGUAGCUAGAGGUAGAGCUCUAGACAUUGGCCGAGACCAGGCAGAAAGACGUCUCGCUGCCGUUCUGCCACGCUCGUGUGUGAAUCUGGCCCAGGGAAAAGAAAAUCCUAAUUACAACUGGUCUACAUUGCGUCCUACUACAGCAUGUUGCGCGUGCUCCGAUGUGUUUGAGUUUAUGAGCAAGCCUUUAUGCGUUGCUUUGUGGACAGUGAGAGCUUUGCGGCGCAUUUAGGGAAAUCAGUGGAGUGCGCUUUGAAACGCACUGAGGCGAGCCGUCAUAAAGUUCGUCAGCUUCAGUGAGAGCCAUGUUAACCCAAUCCACAGUCAGACCAAAUACAAUUCUAAGCGGGUUCUGAAUACAGACGUGGCGUGUAGUCAAUCCACCUGACUAAUAAACUGGUGUUCUUUUUUGAACGUUGCACACCUGCGUAAACUGUAAGCUGCAAUGAAUUAGAUUAGAGCAGGGGUGCCCAACGAGUCGAUCGCGAGGUACCAGUCGAUCUCGAGGGGAGUGGCAGUCGAGAGACAUGUAAUGUGACAGGGAAAUACUGUCUUUCAAAAGUAGGCUAUGUAGUAAGCUGCUGGUACUACUGUAUUGGUUAGAUAAUUAGUCCCACUGUAACACAGAAUGAGGGGAAAGCAUUAGGAAGUGACCGUAAGGGUAUUGCAGUUGAUUCAUGUGUGCACACAUGUAACAUCGGGUGAGUAACAGAACAUGUGCGCAACGAUGCGUUAUGACGCGGCGAUAUGCGAGGAUCUUUGUCCAAAUCGCUAGUCGCAUGCAUCAUCGCUAACUGCGUUUACAUCGCGUGCCGCGUGUAAGGGAAAUGUUAGCUGACAUGUAUGGAAUUCACUUCAAUUUGUGCUGUUUCCUGCUCCAGUUGUGGACAGAACGAUUGGCCAAACUCACAAUAGAAAGCCUUUGCUCUGCUACUGUCCCAGAGAGCUGGGAAAAAAAACCUUCAUAGAAGAAGUCACUCUUAACAAGGGUGUUAACCAAUUCAAUGAGUUCUCUCAUUGCUCUCUCUCUCUCUCUCUCUCUCUCUCUCUCUCUCUCUCUCUCUCUCUCUCUCUCUCUCUCUCUCUCUCUCUCUCUCUCUCUCUCUCUCUCUCUCUCUCUCUCUCUCAUAGUAAAGUGAACUUAACUGGCCUACUAUUUACCCAUAACAAAUGGUGAAGUUCUGAGCCCUUUUUAAUUUUGACCACUGAAGUCAUGAUAAUGCUUCAUCAUAUUUUAGAAAUAGGGCCCAUGUGCCUACAUAUGCCUUUUAUAUACCAAAUGUUUAUCAUUUUGAAAUUGUUUCAGUUGUUUAUGACUUGUGUAGGACUGAAAUUAUCUCUGCAUACUACAAAGCAAUGCAGCACUGCAUUGCUUUGUAAACGUAGGCUAUUCAACACACUUUAAAAACACACUGAAAAGAUACGGCCAUAGUAGCCUACUGAAAACAUUUUGUUCAUAAUAAUGGUGAUUAAUAAAUGGUGAUCUUAAAUUUUCAUACUGACAUCCUGAAAUUUGACUUGGUAGAUCACGGCAGACCAUCAACUUCAAAAGUAGAUCUCGGUUAAAAAAAAGGUUGGGCACCCCUGGAUUAGAGUUUAGGCUACUUUAUUUAUGUAUGCUCACUUAACCAAGAAGCCUAAAUAAGGCAGUGGCCUGUUAAUUCAAAAUGACUAAUUUUAAAACAUUGUUACCAUAGUGAAACAAAAUGUAACUGUAAAAACUGUGUGUAACAUUUGAUAAAUAUAAUCAAUUACUGAUAUUGUUUAUUACAGAAAUGUACCACGUGAUGCAGUAGCCUGUUGAUGCUGGCAAAAGAUGCAAUCUGGAGGAUUUCAGGGUACGUUUUACUAUGCUUCAAUGUUAGGUGAGAUGAAUGUAAUGCAGUGUUUCCCAACCAGGGGUACGUGUACCACUAGGAGUAUGUUUUAUUUUAUGAAUAAAAACAAAUGUAUGGUCAUGAUCAUAUUGGGAUAGAGAACAUGAGUGAGGUGGUACUCAUACUAUGACAAAAAUGCUUAGGGGGUACUCAAGACGAAAAAGGUUGGGAGACACUGAUGUAUGCCCAGAUCAUGUAAACUUACGCCCAGAGCAAAGUCACAGGCAGUGUGCUUCUCUUGCAUUCACAGACUGCCCAUGCUUUUUUAAAGAGAUAAGUUAGAAUGCUUUGCAUAUCUAUUUGUGUAGAGUUAAUCACCAAGACAAUUUCCAGAAGUUGUAUCCAGGUGUCAAUUGUGUCCUUGUUCUGGUGUUGUUAUUUUCAAACAGAGAUGGCUCUUGCUCACUGGCAGUGACUUGGGUCAUGUGAGACAGCAUCAGAGCUCGGGUGACAUCUCUCGCUCGGGUGAAAUCUCUCCUGGAAGAUUUCAAGGUGUGUGCAGAGUUCUGAAGAAUAAAAGUCAACAGUCAAGUUCUUCUCCAUAUUCUCCAAAUCUGACGGAGGCGUUCCAUCAGGAAAGGGGGAAUGGUUGGUCGAUGCCUCCAGAAUAAUGAUACCCAUGACCCAGGCACAACAUGCUGACAGGGAAUCGGCUAUGGCAGAAAGCAUCCAUGCCAUCUACGUGAUCCGCCAUGAAGGUUCAGAAGCUACUGACAGUCCUGAGGACAUCGGAAUCAUUUUCAAAGGGGUGACUGCAUUUGGCUGCUUGCCAAACAUCCUACCCAGGCUCCGCCCUCGCAGUGACGCAACACCUUCGGCUCUGCUACACACACUCAGGAAAACUUUGUUCAGGUA